UUGACCUCGAAUCAGGUAGGAUCCGCUGACUUAGC
rnacentral:rRNA from 1 species